AACGAACGCUGGCGGCAGGCCUAACACAUGCAAGUCGAGCGCGCCCUUCGGGGUGAGCGGCGGACGGGUGAGUAACGCGUGGGAACGUGCCCUUUUCUACGGAAUAGCCUCGGGAAACUGAGAGUAAUACCGUAUACGCCCUUUGGGGGAAAGAUUUAUCAGAAAAGGAUCGGCCCGCGUUGGAUUAGGUAGUUGGUGGGGUAAUGGCCUACCAAGCCGACGAUCCAUAGCUGGUUUGAGAGGAUGAUCAGCCACACUGGGACUGAGACACGGCCCAGACUCCUACGGGAGGCAGCAGUGGGGAAUCUUAGACAAUGGGGGCAACCCUGAUCUAGCCAUGCCGCGUGAGUGAUGAAGGCCUUAGGGUUGUAAAGCUCUUUCAGCUGGGAAGAUAAUGACGGUACCAGCAGAAGAAGCCCCGGCUAACUCCGUG
rnacentral:rRNA from 1 species